UAAAGUUACUCUGCGUAUUUCUCAUCCAUUAUCAAAAAACUCAGCAUGAUGGUUGAUGUUCAGAAUUCCACAAACGUUUUCCAGUGGCUCACAACAGCAUACAAUGAGUCCAGUCCAUUAUCAUCAGGAUGGGGAGCAUGGUGGUGUGCAG